CUCGCCGAAGUAUUCGCCUUCGCUAAGCAGUGCGAUGCGCAGCUCUUCGCCGUGCAGUCCCUUGCUUAUUACUUCAGCCUGACCGCCGGCAACGAUGAAAAACUUCUGUCGGUCCACGCCCUCCUUGAUGAGGUAUCCGCCGAGUUCCACCUCUUCGGUGACAAAACGGCGUGCAAUGCGCCUCACCACGUCUUCUUCUAUGUGUGAGAACAGGGGUAUUCCGCGCAGGCUCUUGGCUUGAAAGCUGGGCACUCCGUCGAGAUAUUCGAUGGAAAUGCGUUCGGCUUUCUUCAGUUCCACUUUUGUGCGGUUCACUCUGAAGGUUCCGCUUUCCACCUGCGUCCAGGGCAAUAGCUUCAGGAGCAGUCUCGGUGUAAUCGAGCCCAUCUGCGGGGCGGUCUUGGUGGUGUUCGCCAAUUUACGGGCUGUGGCUGUCGUCACGCUCCG
rnacentral:antisense_RNA from 1 species